AUCUUGGGGGUCCACGUCUCCAGGACGACAAAGCAAAGCAGAAACGCUUCCCUGUGGACUGAAUAGCAGAAACUCGAAUGCUCACAGCAGCGGUCUUCCUACUGGCCAACAAUUUUAAGCCAUCCAGUACCUGUGGGUAGAGCAGACUGGUAUCCCCACAGAUGGACCACUGUAAGCCACGUGCAAUGUGUGCUUCUCAGAGGCUUCAGCGAAAGCGGCCAAGUACAGGAGUGUAGGCAGAGGUCAGACUGCCUGCCCGUGUUAGUAGGUAAGUACAUGGGGAGUGUGGAGUCCCAGUAGCAGCAACUGCCUGAUCCUGAGGGCACCUUCAUACAUGUGAAUCCCAGUGGUGGGAC
rnacentral:lncRNA from 1 species